AGGGGGAACGCCGGAUCCUGGGCUGUGUCCUCUGGCACCCUGGGCUCCGGGGCCAGUGCUGCUAGAGUCGCGCUCCCGGUCUGCGGCUCCCG
rfam:Canis lupus familiaris chromosome 3, whole genome shotgun sequence.